rnacentral:rRNA from 1 species
AACCUGCCCAAAAGAGGGGGAUAACACUUGGAAACAGGUGCUAAUACCGCAUAACCAUGAACACCGCAUGAUGUUCAUGUAAAAGACGGCUUUUGCUGUCACUUUUGGAUGGGCCUGCGGCGUAUUAACUUGUUGGUGGGGUAACGGCCUACCAAGGUGAUGAUACGUAGCCGAACUGAGAGGUUGAUCGGCCACAUUGGGACUGAGACACGGCCCAAACUCCUACGGGAGGCAGCAGUAGGGAAUCUUCCACAAUGGACGAAAGUCUGAUGGAGCAACGCCGCGUGAAUGAAGAAGGCCUUCGGGUCGUAAAAUUCUGUUGUCAGAGAAGAACGUGCGUGAGAGUAACUGUUCACGUAUUGACGGUAUCUGACCAGAAAGCCACGGCUAACUACGUGCCAGCAGCCGCGGUAAUACGUAGGUGGCGAGCGUUGUCCGGAUUUAUUGGGCGUAAAGGGAACGCAGGCGGUCUUUUAAGUCUGAUGUGAAAGCCUUCGGCUUAACCGAAGUAGUGCAUUGGAAACUGGAAGACUUGAGUGCAGAAGAGGAGAGUGGAACUCCAUGUGUAGCGGUGAAAUGCGUAGAUAUAUGGAAGAACACCAGUGGCGAAAGCGGCUCUCUGGUCUGUAACUGACGCUGAGGUUCGAAAGCGUGGGUAGCAG